rnacentral:rRNA from 1 species
AGCAGCCGCGGUAAUUCCAGCUCCAAUAGCGUAUAUUAAAGUUGUUGCAGUUAAAAAGCUCGUAGUUGAAUUUCGGGGUUAGUAGGUCGGUCAUGCCUCAGGUAUGUACUGGUCUCACUGAUUCCUCUUCCUGAUGAGCCGUAAUGCCAUUAAUUUGGUGUUGCGGGGAAUCUGGACUGUUACUUGAAAAAAUUGAGUGUUUAAAGCAGGCUAACGCUUGAAUACAUUAGCAUGGAAUAAUGGAAUAGGACGUUCGAUCCGUAUUUUGUGGUUUCUAGGUUUGACGUAAUGAUUAAUAGGGUAUAGUUGGGGGCAUUAGUAUUUCAAUUGUACAGAGGUGAAAUUCUUAGGAUUUAGUG